GAAACUCAGGUCUCUUGCUCCUAAAUUUCAUCAAAACAUAAAAAUUAUCUUCUCAAAACAACAAUUUUUUCAUCUUCUUCCUCUGUUCAUUCUUCCGCCGCUGCCACUGCUCGAUCUUCCGCAACUGGUCCGCUACUGCACAUUCAGACAGCCGCUGCUACUGCCGAACAGGUUCGGUGACCAGCUCCAUAUACAUGGAGUUGAGUUGACGGGAGAGACAAAGAACAGUCAGCAUAAAAUGUGCGAGAUUUAAAGAAAAUACAAAGCAAAAAGAUUCAAAUUUCUUCAAUUCCCAAACAACUGACGAAAGAAAUGAGUGGUCUUUUGAUAAACCCAAUAAUUCAGUUCAAAAUACGUCCUGAAUUUCGCGCCAUAAAAGUGAAAUCCAUAACUACAACAGCUCGCAUGGACAAUUCUGGAGCAUCAAAAAGCAAUCAAAAACAGGAACUAAAUCUUUCCGUUCUUCGCUUCACGUUUGGGAUACCUGGAUUAGAUGAAUCCUACUUACCCAGAUAUAUAGGAUAUGGGUUUGGGUCGCUUCUUAUAUUAAACCAUUUUCUGGGUUCUAAUUCUGAUAUAAGUCUGCCCCAGCUGACAACAGAGGCUUUAGGCCUUUCUUUGGCAGCAUUCUCAAGUGCACUUCCAUAUUUUGGAAGAUUUCUGAAGGGUGCUACUGCAGUGGAUCAGGCAACCCUUCCUCAAGGAACUGACCAAAUUUUUGUCAUGUCAGAAACUUUAUCUGAUUCACAAAAGGAGGAAUUAGCCUGGGCAACAUAUGUUUUAUUGAGAAAUACAAACACCAUUGGUGUGUUGAUAUCAGUUCAGGGGGAAUUAUGCGUCCGUGGAUAUUGGAACACUCCAGAUAAUUUAUUAAAAUCCCUACUGCUUGAUUGGUUUAAAAGAAAUAUUGAAAAUAUUGGUCUUUUUGACCUGAAGGACUCUAUCUAUUUUCCACAGACUGCAGACUCUGAACUCUGGGAGAUGCUCCCAAAGGGGACUCGUUCUCUUCUGGUUGAGCCUGUGCAUUUAGAAAGAGACAAAAAUGCCAAGGAGAUGGAAAAGACUGUAGGUUUUCUCUUAUUGGCCUCAAGCAUUGAAUAUGCAUAUAGUGACAAGGAUAGAGCCUGGAUAAAAGCAGUUGCAACCAAAUUUGGAGGUGAGAACACAUGUCCAGAAUUGUAAUACAUUUCUGAUUAGUUUGAUGCUUUAAUUCAAUAAUCAGCUCUGCUUUGAUUCUGCUCUACAUGAAUGACAUUGUCAAUGCUUGAUUUUGCAGGCGGCACAUAAAUAUGGUAAUUUGUUUGUUGAGUUGACACAAUGUAGCUAUUUUUGAAUAUAGUAACUUACAAGGAUGGCAUGAAUUCUUCAUUUGAUAUGCGAGUUUACCAGAGGCUAAGUUCCAUGCUGAGAUUCAAGAGCAUAUGACAUCUUAUAGAAAUUUUUCCAAGCCAUACACCAGAUUCUGCAGAAGUAACAAAAACAAAAAGAAUGGUAUUUUUUGAGAGUGGCUGUGAAAGUUGAAGCAGGCAGAAUCAAGGAAGAAAUGAAAUAUCAGACAAUUAUUUACCUUAAGACGGAUGACCUUUCUAAUAGCCAAGAGGAGGCCAGGCAUGAGGCAUUCUACAUCUGUGAUAUCAUGUUUGAUAGAGUAUACCUGUGAAUAACAGUGGCAAAUUAUUGGAUUAUCAUAUUUGGAAGGAAUAAUCCAACAGUUUCAUCUAUUUUGCUGAUCAGAAAAAUAAUCAGAAAAUGCACCUCUCCUGGCCCAGAGAAGUAAACUGUUGUGCUGGAGGGCAGCCCUGGUAACACCAAGCUAUGAACCCUAACACCAUCUUCUCCUAGAACUUGGCCCCUAGCCUUAUAAUAUAAGUAAAUGAGUUGUAUUACGAGACAUUAACGUUGCUCUCUAUAUUGCAUUUGACAUCAAAAUAACUCCAUUCUGAGAAGUGCCAGAUUACCAGAACAUCAGUCGACAUAUCUCCUUUAUUGUAGAUCUGACCCAGGUUGGAAAGAUUCUUUGCAAUUUGGUUUGCAUCCGCUGAUGGAAGGUCCUGUUGAUGAAUGGCUUUUUUAGUAUAAAAUUUUGGAUGCUUCAUUUAUCCACAAGGAGUAUUGAACCUAUGGAUAGAGUCGGUGCAACCAGACAACCCUAUUGUUCGUGUUGCCAAAGUUAGACAAGUCAGAUAGUGAAGAAGAAAUGUUGGCGCUGAAACAUGAAUGGAAGUGUUCACCGUCAAAUAACUGUAUUAUUAUCUCACCCUGUGCUCACCAUGCUGGCCUUGUCACAUAGUGCAGAUAAUGCGGCAACUGUGUCCGCUUCAAUUCGAGGUACGUAGACUAUGCUUUUCAUGCCAAAUGCUGUUGCCUAACAAAGUAGGAACGUCAACAGAAAGCUCUAGUUAGUAGCUGCUAACUAAUCGUAUACGAAAUUACGUGUUGCUUUGUAUUUCUAGGCUUAAUCUAAAGUAGGAUGUUUUUCUUUGUCAAUGAAAUCAGUAGAAAGAUGAUAGAACCUGUUUCACAUUGUCAUAAACCGCUGAAGGUUCAGUGAAAUCAAUAACAACUCCAGUUUCUUUUGACUGCAAAA